rnacentral:rRNA from 1 species
UGGGGAAUAUUGCACAAUGGGCGCAAGCCUGAUGCAGCCAUGCCGCGUGUAUGAAGAAGGCCUUCGGGUUGUAAAGUACUUUCAGUCGGGAGGAAGGUGGUAAGGUUAAUAACCUUGGCAAUUGACGUUACCGACAGAAGAAGCACCGGCUAACUCCGUGCCAGCAGCCGCGGUAAUACGGAGGGUGCAAGCGUUAAUCGGAAUUACUGGGCGUAAAGCGCACGCAGGCGGUUGAUUGAGUCAGAUGUGAAAUCCCCGGGCUUAACCCGGGAAUUGCAUCUGGUACUGGUCAGCUAGAGUCUUGUAGAGGGGGGUAGAAUUCCAUGUGUAGCGGUGAAAUGCGUAGAGAUGUGGAGGAAUACCGGUGGCGAAGGCGGCCCCCUAGACAAAGACUGACGCUCAGGUGCGAAAGCGUGGGGAGCAAACAGG